UACGUAGGGCGCAAGCGUUGUCCGGAAUUAUUGGGCGUAAAGAGCUCGUAGGCGGCUUGUCACGUCGAUUGUGAAAGCCCGAGGCUUAACCUCGGGUCUGCAGUCGAUACGGGCUAGCUAGAGUGUGGUAGGGGGAGAUCGGAAUUCCUGGUGUAGCGGUGAAAUGCGCAGAUAUCAGGAGGAACACCGGUGGCGAAGGCGGAUCUCUGGGCCAUGACUGACGCUGAGGAGCGAAA
rnacentral:rRNA from 1 species